CCGAACCAAAAUAACAAAAAACCUAAUAAACCGAAAACCAAAAAAACCGAAAAAAGUUGUUUUGCUAUUUUUUUGCGGUGCGAUUCGGUUUUCAGUUUUGACCAUGAAAACCCUAACCAAAUCGAACUGAACCAGUUUGGCAAAAAACCCUAAAAAUUACUAACCCCACCCCCCUCAAAUGAAUGAAACGAGUGCUGCUGUGCGAGUGUGCGUCACUGCGUCCCUAACCCCCAAAUCCCCAAUCGAAACCUAACGUCCUAACCUAGCUCAGUAGCUCCCCCUUCUCCAAAUCUCUCCCUUUGCGCACCCAACCACGGAGCCAGCCACCCACAUCCUUGAGUCUCCACACAUGUGGCACCCACGUUCCUCCCAAGUCCCACCACCGCGAAGCCUUCCUCCGAAUCCCAACGCCGAAGCCUUCCUCUUCACGGAGACGCGAACAGAGCAGAGAUCCCCCACCGCCGGUGCACCAUGAACACGAAGCCAUCGCACAACAGGCCAGCACGCCACCCACUGACCCAGAAGGCUAGCAACACGCCACCACCCACUGACUCAACAGGGCAGCAUAGCACCACGCCAGUGAGACGCCACCACCCAGCAGCGUUUCUGGGUUCUGGUCACGAUCUUCAGUUCAACCCAGCACCUCCCAGUCUCCCACCCAGCCUUCCUUCCAAGUCAAUAUGGAGCCCGAGCCACCGAUUCUGUUGCUUUAAGUAAUUGAUGCA